GGAAGGCCCAGACAGCCAGGAUGUUGGCUUAGAAGCAGCCAUCAUUUAAAGAAAGCGUAAUAGCUCACUGGUCGAGUCGGCCUGCGCGGAAGAUGUAACGGGGCUAAACCAUGCACCGAAGCUGCGGCAGCGACACUCUGUGUUGUUGGGUAGGGGAGCGUUCUGUAAGCCGUUGAAGGUGGCCUGUGAGGGCUGCUGGAGGUAUCAGAAGUGCGAAUGCUGACAUAAGUAACGAUAAAGCGGGUGAAAAGCCCGCUCGCCGGAAGACCAAGGGUUCCUGUCCAACGUUAAUCGGGGCAGGGUGAGUCGACCCCUAAG
rnacentral:rRNA from 1 species